CCUCCUCUUAGAAAUUGAGCCUCCAUGGUGCCUGUGCAAAUGUUGUAAGUCCGAAAUUUGAUUGAUGUAGUACUUGUUAUACCAAAUGAAUUGAUGUUGUGAAAAUGCAUGUGGAAGGUGCUUCUCUAUGUGUUUAAUGUGUUAUUCUUUGUAAAUUGAGGAUGUGUGGUGGACAUGAACUAUGUGCUAAAUGCCUAAAUGUCAAGUUAAGGUUACAUUGUGAUUAAUAUGCCGAACUAGAUAAAUUCCCCUCUAUGCUUAUAACUUAAAUUGCUUUUGUGUGUGCCUAUGAUCUUAAAUGGCAAGGUUAAUGUUGAAAAUGAGAAUAAUGUGAAACGUGAGUUAUGAAUGUGGCAAUUGUGGCCCCAAGUGCUGAUGAACUAAUACAUGUGGAACCAAAGAUUGAAGUGAGAAUGAUUAAUAGAAAAGGGUAACGUCUUGGUAAGAUGGCUUAGCCGAUCGGGCCGUGAUCGGACGCCAUGUUAUACACACAUGGUGGUAAUGUAUUGAUAAUUGAACCUGGAAAGUGAGAAUGAAAUAAGGGUAACGUCUUGAUAAGACGGCUUAGCCGAUCGGGCCAUGAUCGGACUCCACUCAAGGAAGCGAUGGUAAUGUGGAUGAUGAUGCAAUGAUAUGGAAUGCCCCAAUCUAAAAUUUCAGAAAUUAUGUGAAAACUAU
rnacentral:lncRNA from 1 species